rnacentral:rRNA from 1 species
AGGAUUAGAUACCCUGGUAGUCCACGCCGUAAACGGUGGGCGCUAGUUGUGCGAACCUUCCACGGUUUGUGCGACGCAGCUAACGCAUUAAGCGCCCCGCCUGGGGAGUACGAUCGCAAGAUUAAAACUCAAAGGAAUUGACGGGGCCCCGCACAAGCAGCGGAGCAUGCGGCUUAAUUCGACGCAACGCGAAGAACCUUACCAAGGCUUGACAUAUACAGGAAUACGGCAGAGAUGUCGUAGCCGCAAGGUCUGUAUACAGGUGGUGCAUGGUUGUCGUCAGCUCGUGUCGUGAGAUGUUGGGUUAAGUCCCGCAACGAGCGCAACCCUCGUUCUGUGUUGCCAGCAUUUAGUUGGGGACUCACAGGAGACUGCCGGGGUUAACUCGGAGGAAGGUGGGGAUGACGUCAAAUCAUCAUGCCCCUUAUGUCUUGGGCUGCACGCAUGCUACAAUGGCUGGUACAAACGGCUGCAAUACCGCAAGGUGGAGCGAAUCCGAGAAAGCCAGUCUCAGUUCGGAUUGGGGUCUGCAACUCGACCCCAUGAAGUCGGAGUUGCUAGUAAUCGUAGAUCAGCAACGCUACGGUGAAUACGUUCCCGGGGCUUGUACACACCGCCCGUCACAUCACGAAAGUCGGUAACACCCAAAGUCAGUGCCCA